AUUGAACGCUGGCGGCAGGCCUAACACAUGCAAGUCGAGCGGAUGAAGGGAGCUUGCUCCUGGAUUCAGCGGCGGACGGGUGAGUAAUGCCUAGGAAUCUGCCUGGUCGUGGGGGAUAACGUCCGGAAACGGGCGCUUAUACCGCAUACGUCCUGUGGGCGACAGUGGGGGAUCUUCGGUCCUCACGCUUUCUGAUGAGCCUAGGUCGGUGUAGCUAGUUGGUGGGGUAAAUGCCUACCAAGGCGACGAUCCGUAACUGGUCUGAGAGGAUGAUCAGUCACACUGGAACAGAGACACGGUCCAGACACCUAGGGGAGGCAGCAGUGGGGAAUAUUGGACAAUGGGCGAAAGCCUGAUCCAGCAAAGCCGCGUGUAUGAAGAAGGUCUUCGGAUUGUAAAGCACUUUAAGUUGGGAGGAAGGGCAGUAAGUUAAUACCUUGCUGUUUUGACGUUACCAACAGAAUAAGCACCGGCUAACUUCGUG
rnacentral:rRNA from 1 species